rnacentral:lncRNA from 1 species
CUGGUUUUUGCUGUUCCAAUAUUUCUGGUUUCUGAAGAUUUUCGUUAACCUUAACAAUAACAGUAGUUAAUUUGUUCAGCUCAUCUUUAACACUGACUGACUUUUCUACAAAAUCAGCUGACACAUCCUUAAUAUCAGCAUCAGGUGUUUGUUCUGCCGAGGAAAGAUUUUCUGCUAGUUCAUUUAUUACUGCUGCUACUUCAAUUAUGGAGAGAAUACCUUUUUGUGGGAUCUGGCUCUGGGCUUCGACACUUGUUUUGAGUAAUGCCACUUCUUCUUUUAGAACUGAUAUUGGUUCUA